GACGAACGCUGGCGGCGUGCCUAAUACAUGCAAGUCGAGCGAAGUUUUUCUGGUGCUUGCACUAGAAAAACUUAGCGGCGAACGGGUGAGUAACACGUAAAGAACCUGCCUCAUAGACUGGGACAACUAUUGGAAACGAUAGCUAAUACCGGAUAACAGUAUUUCUCGCAUGGGAGAUAUUUAAAAGUUGGUUAUGCUAACACUGUGAGAUGGCUUUGCGGUGCAUUAGCUAGUUGGUGGGGUAAAGGCCUACCAAGGCGACGAUGCAUAGCCGACCUGAGAGGGUGAUCGGCCACACUGGGACUGAGACACGGCCCAGACUCCUACGGGAGGCAGCAGUAGGGAAUCUUCCGCAAUGGGCGAAAGCCUGACGGAGCAACGCCGCGUGAGUGAAGAAGGAUUUCGGUUCGUAAAGCUCUGUUGUUAGGGAAGAAUGGAUAUGUAGUAACUAUA
rnacentral:rRNA from 1 species